rnacentral:rRNA from 1 species
CAGGCUUAACACAUGCAAGUCGAGGGGCAUCAGGAAGAAAGCUUGCUUUCUUUGCUGGCGACCGGCGCACGGGUGAGUAACACGUAUCCAACCUGCCCUUUACUCGGGGAUAGCCUUUCGAAAGAAAGAUUAAUACCCGAUGGCAUAAUGAUUCCGCAUGGUUUCAUUAUUAAAGGAUUCCGGUAAAGGAUGGGGAUGCGUUCCAUUAGGUUGUUGGUGAGGUAACGGCCCACCAAGCCUUCGAUGGAUAGGGGUUCUGAGAGGAAGGUCCCCCACAUUGGAACUGAGACACGGUCCAAACUCCUACGGGAGGCAGCAGUGAGGAAUAUUGGUCAAUGGGCGGUAGCCUGAACCAGCCAAGUAGCGUGAAGGAUGAAGGCUCUAUGGGUCGUAAACUUCUUUUAUAUAAGAAUAAAGUGCAGUAUGUAUACUGUUUUGUAUGUAUUAUAUGAAUAAGGAUCGGCUAACUCCGUGCCAGCAGCCGCGGUAAUACGGAGGAUCCGAGCGUUAUCCGGAUUUAUUGGGUUUAAAGGGAGCGUAGGUGGACUGGUAAGUCAGUUGUGAAAGUUUGCGGCUCAACCGUAAAAUUGCAGUUGAUACUGUCAGUCUUGAGUACAGUAGAGGUGGGCGGAAUUCGUGGUGUAGCGGUGAAAUGCUUAGAUAUCACGAAGAACUCCGAUUGCGAAGGCAGCUCACUGGACUGCAACUGACACUGAUGCUCGAAAGUGUGGGUAUCAAACAGGAUUAGAUACCCUGGUAGUCCACACAGUAAACGAUGAAUACUCGCUGUUUGCGAUAUACAGUAAGCGGCCAAGCGAAAGCAUUAAGUAUUCCACCUGGGGAGUACGCCGGCAACGGUGAAACUCAAAGGAAUUGACGGGGGCCCGCACAAGCGGAGGAACAUGUGGUUUAAUUCGAUGAUACGCGAGGAACCUUACCCGGGCUUAAAUUGCAGUGGAAUGAUGUGGAAACAUGUCAGUGAGCAAUCACCGCUGUGAAGGUGCUGCAUGGUUGUCGUCAGCUCGUGCCGUGAGGUGUCGGCUUAAGUGCCAUAACGAGCGCAACCCUUAUCUUCAGUUACUAACAGGUCAUGCUGAGGACUCUGGAGAGACUGCCGUCGUAAGAUGUGAGGAAGGUGGGGAUGACGUCAAAUCAGCACGGCCCUUACGUCCGGGGCUACACACGUGUUACAAUGGGGGGUACAGAAGGCAGCUAGCGGGUGACCGUAUGCUAAUCCCAAAAGCCUCUCUCAGUUCGGAUCGAAGUCUGCAACCCGACUUCGUGAAGCUGGAUUCGCUAGUAGUCGCGCAUCAGCCACGGCGCGGUGAAUACGUUCCCGGGCCUUGUACACACCGCCCGUCAAGCCAUGGGAGCCGGGGGUACCUGAAGUACGUAACCGCAAGGAUCGUCCUAGGGUAAAACUGGUGACUGGG